rnacentral:rRNA from 1 species
AUUGAACGCUGGCGGCAGGCCUAACACAUGCAAGUCGAACGGUAACAGGAAGCAGCUUGCUGCUUUGCUGACGAGUGGCGGACGGGUGAGUAAUGUCUGGGAAACUGCCCGAUGGAGGGGGAUAACUACUGGAAACGGUAGCUAAUACCGCAUAACGUCGCAAGACCAAAGAGGGGGACCUUCGGGCCUCUUGCCAUCGGAUGUGCCCAGAUGGGAUUAGCUUGUUGGUGAGGUAACGGCUCACCAAGGCGACGAUCCCUAGCUGGUCUGAGAGGAUGACCAGCCACACUGGAACUGAGACACGGUCCAGACUCCUACGGGAGCAGCAGUGGGGAAUAUUGCACAAUGGGCGCAAGCCUGAUGCAGCCAUGCCGCGUGUAUGAAGA